rnacentral:rRNA from 1 species
UUUAUAUGAGAGUUUGAUCCUGGCUCAGGAUGAACGCCGGCGGUGUGCCUAAUACAUGCAAGUCGUACGCACUGGCCCAACUGAUUGAUGGUGCUUGCACCGGAUUGACGUUGGAUCACCAGUGAGUGGCGGACGGGUGAGUAACACGUAGGUAACCUGCCCCGGAGCGGGGGAUAACAUUUGGAAACAGAUGCUAAUACCGCAUAACAACAAAAGCCACAUGGCUUUUGUUUGAAAGAUGGCU